AAUGAAAUCCUAAGGGAAAAUGUUUUACAAACACGGGUAAAAAAGGCCCCAAUUUAUGUAAAACGUCUUACCGAUUUGGAAUCAGUAAGACAUUUUCCGAUUUUUCCAGCGUUCACCCUUCUCUACACUCUCGUUCUCCCUUCUCCUCUCUACACCGAUCUGGUUUCGUUCUCACGUUCGUUCUCCCUUCUCCCUUUCGUUCUCCCUUUCAUUCUCCCUUGAUUUGGUUUCGGGCUCCUUUUCCCCCCUUGAUUUCUUCUUCUUUUUAUAAAUUGAUUUGGGGAUUUUCUGCUUGUUUUUGUCUGAGACCUUGCUUGGGUUUUCUGCUAGUUUGGCUGUGGUGUUUGGCUUAUCUUGGGCAGACUUUCUUCACAGACUUGCUUGGGUUCUCUUUCGCUCGCUCUAUCUCUAAAUUUCUUUGGUGGAUUUCUCUUGGCGUGACGGUGUUGUUGUUGGUGUUCUCUUUGUGAACAAUCUCGUCUUCACAGAUUCAUUAUCUUAUCGAUCUGCACCUAACUUUUCGUUGGUGAAUUUGAUAUGUCUCAUUACUAGUUUUAGCCCAGGUUCUGUUACGUUUUUCAGCAUGUCUACCCCAUUGACGUUUUUUAGCGUCUCCAUAAGCCGCUGCCAUGCUCCUUGAAAGCAAUUGUGGUGCCUUCAAUUUUUGUUUCCAUCUCUUUUAAAAAAUUUGAUGCUUUCCAUAUUGUGGUUGUCUUUAAUUUAAAGCUGCUCUGUUUUUGAUUAGUUCAAACCUCAAUUUGUUGUUGCUUACUUGAAUCGUGUUACAAGAUGUUGCUUUGCUUCAUUGCUAAGAGGCUGCCAAACGUGCAGGGUGGCUUCCUCAAGGUGAUAAUUAUCCCAAUGCUAGCCAUGUUGGUUUUGGACUUGUUCUUGGAGAAGAUGGCAAGCGUUUUAGAACCCGUAACACUGAAGUAGUUCGUUUAGUUGAUCUAUUUGAUGAAG